CUGUGGUGAAUAACCUUGUUGGCACCUCACUGUUUGCAUAAAUUCCUAGUACUGGGAUUGCUAGGUCCAAAAGUAUAUGCAUUUAACGCUUUAAUGAUCCCUCAUAAAUGUUGUGCGGUUAAUACUCCCACUGGCAUGUGAUCGUACCCGUCUCCAUAGUAAUUGCAUCUAAGAACUGAGGCUACAUAGGAAAAAAUCUUAAGGUCCAUGGUUGUUAGGUAUCAGAUGCCCUAUAAUGGAUGAAUAUUUAAGUAAAUAAUGGCACAUUGACUUGCUGUCUGACACAACUGCUGAAAAUGUUGGUGAAAAGUGAGUCUCGAAGUGGUAGCUCACACUUGUAAUACCAGCACUUUCGGAGGCUGAGACGGGGAUCGCUCGAGGCCAGGAGUUCAAGAGCAGCCUGGGCAACAUAACGAGACCCCCAUCUCUACCAAAAAUUUAAAAAUUAGCCGGGCAUGGUGGCGCAAGCCUGUUGUCCCAGUUACUCCUGAGACUAAGGCAAGAGGAUCCCUUGAGUCCAGGAGUUCAAGGCUGCAGUGAGCUAUGAUUGAGCCACUGCACUCCAGCCUGGGUGACAGAGCAAGACUCUUAUCUACCUGUGGGAAAAAAAAAAGAAAAAAGUUUAAUAGAUCCUGAAGAGUUGGCCGGGCGCGGUAGCUCACGCCUGUAAUCCCAGCACUUUGGGAGGAUGAGACGGGUGGAUAACGAGGUCAGGAGUUCGAGACCAGCUGGGCCAACAUGGUGAAACCCCAUUUCUACUGAAAUUACAAAAAUUAGCCGGGCGUGGUGGCGGGCGCCUGUAAUCCUAGCUACUCAGGAGGCGGAGGCAGGAGAAUCACUUGAACCCGGAAGGCAGAGGUUGCAGUGAGCCGAGAUGGCACCAUUGCACUCCAGCCCGGGCGAAAGAGCAAAAACUCCGUCUCAAAAAAAAACAAAGAUCCCGAAGAGUCAGUCGUUCAUCCAAGAAGCCCUGACUGAGCUCUUAUUCUGUGCCAGACUCUGUUCUAGGUGCUAUGGAUGGAGCAGGGACCAGGACCUACAAACACGUGGAGCGCAUUCUAAUAUCUGUGAUACUCUGCAAAACUGUUAAAACAAAUCCUUGCGGCCGGGCGCGGUGGCUCACGCCUGUAAUUCCAGCACUUUGGAAGGCCGAGACGGGCGGAUCACGAGGUCAGGAGAUCGAGACCAUCCUGGCUAACACAGUGAAACCCCGUCUUUACUAAAAAUACAAGGAAAUUAGCCAGGCGUGGUGGCGGGUGCCUGUAGUCCCAGCUACUCGGGAGGCUGAGGCAGGAGAAUGGCGUGAACCUGGGAGGCGGAGCUUGCAGUGAGCCGAGAUCGCGACACUGCACUCCAGCCUGGGCAACAGAGCGAGACUCCGUCUCAAAACAAAACAAAACAAAACAAAACAAAAAUCCUUGCUACCACUGGCCCUAAAGCAGGAGGCAUAGGGCUGCGUGUGAGGAGUAGUCCAUUGCAUGGGCUUCCUCCAGUUUGGCUUUGGAUUUUUGAGCUCUCUGAAUUUGUUGUUUGUGUCCUUUGCACAGUGUCCCUCCCAGGUUGCACCCAUGCCUGCCCCUCAGGGUCCCCCACUCCCAGUGAAUUUCACACCAUGCAGCAUGUACUUUAAGCCAUACAUCUUACGUAUGUUCCAGACAUUUGGUAAAACGCCGUUUAUGUGUUUUUCAGUGACUCACAAACAUUUUAUUUACGUAAAUGAG
rnacentral:lncRNA from 1 species